AUGGGACAGCUGGGUAAUGAUCCGCUGGUAUCUGUGUCUGAACUUAUUGAUCAGACCUCAGGACAGUGGGAUGUCCAGCUUGUCAGGCGGAAUUUUCUCGCGCCAGAUGCUACAGCCAUUCUUAACACCCCUUUGCGAGCUGGUGGCGGAGAAGAUCAACUUGUGUGGGCGUUAGAAAGAUCAGGCGAAUACUCUGUCAAAACAACAUAUCGCUCUCUUGUGACUCGUAACGAGCAUCACGCUCUAGAGGAAGGGACGGUAUCGGAGACUUCAUCGUCAGAGAAACAGCUUUGGUCGACCCUAUGGAAGCUCAAAAUAUUACCGAAAGUGUGGGUUUUC
rnacentral:rRNA from 1 species